rnacentral:rRNA from 1 species
GAGCGUUAAUCGGAAUUACUGGGCGUAAAGCGCGCGUAGGCGGCUUUGCAAGUCGGGUGUGAAAUCCCCAGGCUUAACCUGGGAACUGCAUUCGAGACUGCAUUGCUAGAGUAUGGGAGAGGGAAGUGGAAUUUCCGGUGUAGCGGUGAAAUGCGUAGAUAUCGGAAGGAACAUCAGUGGCGAAAGCGACUUCCUGGACCAAUACUGACGCUCAUGUGCGAAAGCGUGGGGAGCAAACAGG